CAAUUUUGCAUUUUUGAGCAUGUCAAAUUUCAUAUGGUAAAUGCACAUUGAAACAUAUUGCAAAUGCGCGCGCACUUGCAAUAUGAUUCUAUAGUGUAAAAACAUCACCUAAUGGACAUGAUGAAAUCAACACAACGAGUGAUGGAAAUGUACAACUAUCACUGCUCAGCCAUCCUGUGUUCAUCAGACCAGUCAAUUUUGCAUUUUUGAGCAUGUCAAAUUUCAUAUGGUAAAUGCACAUUGAAACAUAUUGCAAAUGCGCGCGCACUUGCAAUAUGAUUCUAUAGUGUAAAAACAUCACCUAAUGGACAUGAUGAAAUCAACACAACGAGUGAUGGAAAUGUACAACCAUCACUGCUCAGCCAUCCUGUGUUCAUCAGACCAGUCAAUUUUGCAUUUUUGAGCAUGUCAAAUUUCAUAUGGUAAAUGCACAUUGAAACAUAU